GUGGAUUAGAUACCCUAGUAGUCCACGCCCUAAACGAUGAAUACUAGACGUUGGGUGUAAAAACUCAGUGUCGCAGCUAACGCAUUAAGUAUUCCACCUGGGGAGUACGAUCGCAAGGUUGAAACUCAAAGGAAUUGACGGGGGCCCGCACAAGCAGUGGAGCAUGUGGUUCAAUUCGAUGCAACGCGAAGAACCUUACCUAGGCUUGAAAAGCAAGUUAAUCCUGAUGAAAGUCGGGGUGCCGCAAGGCGAACUUGUACAGGUGCUGCACGGCCGUCGUCAACU
rnacentral:rRNA from 1 species